AACUCAUGGUGAGGGAACCUUCUCAGUAGGUCCUUGUAUCUCUCCCAUGCAUCGUAAAGUGUUUCUAAAUUCAUCUACACAAAAGAAGAGAUAUCAUUACGCAAUUU
rnacentral:snoRNA from 1 species